AGUGAACGCUGGCGGUAGGCCUAACACAUGCAAGUCGAACGGCAGCACAGUAAGAGCUUGCUCUUACGGGUGGCGAGUGGCGGACGGGUGAGGAAUACAUCGGAAUCUACUUUUUCGUGGGGGAUAACGUAGGGAAACUUACGCUAAUACCGCAUACGACCUACGGGUGAAAGCAGGGGAUCUUCGGACCUUGCGCGAUUGAAUGAGCCGAUGUCGGAUUAGCUAGUUGGCGGGGUAAAGGCCCACCAAGGCGACGAUCCGUAGCUGGUCUGAGUGGAUGAUCAGCCACACUGGAACUGAGACACGGUCCAGACUCCUACGGGAGGCAGCAGUGGGGAAUAUUGGACAAUGGGCGCAAGCCUGAUCCAGCCAUACCGCGUGGGUGAAGAAGGCCUUCGGGUUGUAAAGCCCUUUUGUUGGGAAAGAAAAGCAGCAGGUUAAUACCCCGCUGUUCUGACGGUACCCAAAGAGUAAGCACCGGCUAACUUCGUG
rnacentral:rRNA from 1 species